UACAGAGGGUGCAAGCGUUGUUCGGAAUCAUUGGGCGUAAAGAGCGUGUAGGCGGCCAGGUAGGUCCGUUGUGAAAACUCGAGGCUCAACCUCGAGACGUCGGCGGAAACCCUCUGGCUAGAGUCCGGAAGAGGAGAGUGGAAUUCCUGGUGUAGCGGUGAAAUGCGCAGAUAUCAGGAGGAACACCGGUGGCGAAGGCGGGUCUCUGGGCCGUAACUGACGCUGAGGAGCGAAAGCAUGGGGAGCGAACAGG
rnacentral:rRNA from 1 species